rnacentral:rRNA from 1 species
UACGUAGGUGGCAAGCGUUGUCCGGAUUUACUGGGCGUAAAGAGCGCGCAGGCGGUCGUUUAAGUCGAAUGUGAAAGCCCCCGGCUCAACUGGGGAGGGUCAUUCGAUACUGAUCGACUUGAAGGCAGGAGAGAGAAGUGGAAUUCCCGGUGUAGUGGUGAAAUGCGUAGAUAUCGGGAGGAACACCGGUGGCGAAGGCGGUUCUCUGGGC